rnacentral:rRNA from 1 species
AGAACGAACGCUGGCGGCAUGCCUAAUACAUGCAAGUCGAACGAACUCUUCGGAGUUAGUGGCGCACGGGUGCGUAACGCGUGGGAAUCUGCCCCUUGGUUCGGAAUAACAGUUGGAAACGACUGCUAAUACCGGAUGAUGACGAAAGUCCAAAGAUUUAUCGCCAAGGGAUGAGCCCGCGUAGGAUUAGCUAGUUGGUGAGGUAAAGGCUCACCAAGGCAACGAUCCUUAGCUGGUCUGAGAGGAUGAUCAGCCACACUGGGACUGAGACACGGCCCAGACUCCUACGGGAGGCAGCAGUAGGGAAUAUUGGACAAUGGGCGAAAGCCUGAUCCAGCAAUGCGCGUGAGUGAUGAAGGCCUUAGGGUGUAAGCUCUUUACCGAGAUGAUAAUGACAGUAUCGGAAGACUAAGCCCGAUAACUCCGUGCCAGCACGCCGAC